CUGGCAGAUCAGCGUUUGUAGUCCAACGGUUAGGAUAAUUGCCUUCCAAGCAAUAGACCCGGGUUCGACUCCCGGCAAACGCAU
rnacentral:tRNA from 1 species